UACGGAGGGUGCGAGCGUUGUUCGGAAUCACUGGGCGUAAAGAGCUCGUAGGCGGUGUGUCGCGUCGGCCGUGAAAACCUGGGGCUUAACUCUGGGCGUGCGGUCGAUACGGGCAUCACUAGAGUUCGGCAGGGGAGACUGGAAUUCCUGGUGUAGCGGUGAAAUGCGCAGAUAUCAGGAGGAACACCGGUGGCGAAGGCGGGUCUCUGGGCCGAUACUGACGCUGAGGAGCGAAAGCAUGGGUAGCGAACAGG
rnacentral:rRNA from 1 species